AGUGUUACAGCCGAGCAUACAGUGCUGCAUUAAAAAAAGGGCCGCUAACGUUGCGCUGGGACGUAACCCGGACCUGACACGAAUGCACGAAUUUAACUUGAGGAGCAUGGUAAAAGGAUAAUCUCCGGAUGUCGAGCGCUGAUGUCAGUGUUCCUGGCCAGGGUUAAUUUAAGGAUAACAUCACAUUUAUUUCCGAGGGAUACAAAUGUCACCAAAAUAAAAGACCAGCAAUUGAAACACAAGAGAGACUGCAGGUGCCGGAAAUCUGGAGCAACGCACAAAAAACGCCUGAGGAACUCAGCAGGUCAGGCAGCACCUAUGGAGGGAAAUGGACAGUCGACGUUUUGGGCCGAGACCCUUCAUCAGGACUGGAACGAAAGAGGGCAGAAGCCAGAAUAAAAAGGUGGGGGGAGGGGGACGAGUCCGAACUGGCGGCUGAUAGGUGAAUCCAGCGGCUCAAACUUCUUCAAAGUGAGAACAACUGAUGCACCAUAGAAAGCAUCCUAUCAGGAUGUACCACGGCUUGGUAUGGCAACUGCUCUGCCCAAGAUCGCAAGAAGCUGCAGAGAGUUGUGGACUCAGCCCAGCGCAUUACGGACACCAGUCUCCCCUCCUUGGACUAUGUCUUUGCCCCUCAUUGUCUUGGUGUAGCAGCCAGCAUAAUCAAAGACCCCACCCACCCGGGACAUUCUCUCUUCUGUACUCUUCCAUCGGGUAGAAGAUACAGGAGCCUGAGGGCACGUACCACCAGACUUAAGGACAGCUUCUACCCCCACAGUGAUAAGACUAUUGAACAGUUCCCUUAUAAAAUGAGAUGGACUAUGACCUAUGACCUCACGAUCUACCUUGUUGUGACCUUGCACCUUAUUGCACUGCACUUCCUCUGUAGCUGUGACACUUUACUCUGUACUGUUAUUUCUUUUACCUGUACUAUAUUAAUGCACUCUGUACUAACUUGAUGUAACUGCACUGUGUAAUGACCUGUAAGAUCAGUUUGUAAGAUAAGUUUUUCACUGUACCUCAGUACAAGUGACAAUAAUAAACCAAUACCAAUACCAAGUGCUCAGGCCAGUCCCUGGGUCUCCGGGUGGG